rnacentral:snoRNA from 1 species
ACGACCUUAAUUGAACAGGAUGUGUUCUAUUGGCUCGUACCACUGUAUGCUUGAGUUCUAAAGAAUUUCAAAGGAAAGAGGACCCAAGUUCAAUUCCCAGAAA